CUGCCGGCUGAGAGUUAAUAAUACAAACGAGAAAACUAUGCAGAUUGUAUAUUCAAUAUGUCUGAAGAUGUUUCUGAAGGUUGCAGAUGUCAUGGCGGAAUUGGAAGAAUGAUGAAACUCGAGUUGAAAGGAUCGCAUUCCGUAUUCUACCAACGGUUUCCAGCUGCGUCCCAGGGUAUUAUCUACGAAGCUAAAUCGCC